rnacentral:tRNA from 1 species
CGGGGCGUAGCUUAGCCCGGUAGAGCGCCUGCUUCGGGAGCAGGAGGUCGCUGGUUCAAAUCCAGUCGCCCCGACCA